rnacentral:rRNA from 1 species
CCUACGGGUGGCAGCAGUGAGGAAUAUUGGUCAAUGGGCGCGAGCCUGAACCAGCCAAGUAGCGUGAAGGAUGACUGCCCUACGGGUUGUAAACUUCUUUUAUAAGGGAAUAAAGUGUGGCACGUGUGCCUUUUUGUCUGUACUUUAUGAAUAAGGAUCGGCUAACUCCGUGCCAGCAGCCGCGGUAAUACGGAGGAUCCGAGCGUUAUCCGGAUUUAUUGGGUUUAAAGGGAGCGUAGGUGGGUUUUUAAGUCAGUUGUGAAAGGUUGCGGCUCAACCGUAAAAUUGCAAUUGAUACUGGCAGACUUGAGUACAGACGAGGUAGGCGGAAUACGUGGAGUAGCGGUGAAAUGCUUAGAUAUCACGUAGAACUCCGAUAGCGAAGGCAGCUUACUAGACUGCCACUGACAUUGAAGCACGAGAGUGUGGGUAGCAAACAGGAUUAGAUACCCGUGUAGUC